rnacentral:tRNA from 1 species
ACCUUCGUGGUGUAAUGGUUAACACACACGGCUCGUAUUCGAGAGGUCCAGGUUCGAUUCCCGGAGAGGCCA